CUCCUGCUAUCUUCUAAAUAAAAUAGAGCUGUAACACUGAAAAAAAAAAAGAAAGAAAGAAAGAAAGAAAAGAAAGAAAAUUAUCUCUGGGAUAAUUUUAGAGUUUAUCUGUGAAGCUGUGACACGGCCUCCCCUGGAGUCUCUUGCUCUCUUUCUUACCCUGAACUCCUUCAUGAGGACCAGUAGUCCCAAUUCAGGGAUGCGGGGCUCAAGGAAUCUGCCAGAACAUCUACCUUAUGGCUUAUAGACUGCCUCCCUGCUCUCAUGGACACUGCCUGGGACUGUGUCAGCUGGUUUUUCACCCUGGGUUGAUGACUACAGUCAGCGGUCAAGACUAACAGGUCUCCUUAUGGAUGUGAAAGCUACAUGCAUUUCCAAAACCAAAUCUGUAUUAAAUCAAACAUAUAUGGCUUGAGAGAGACUAAUCCUAUGAGAAUUCCAGAUGGAGUCAUCCCUGAGAUCCCUGCAUGCCAGUUAAUUGCAUCUCUGGAAGCUCCUGUUGGUUGAGCUGGGAUAAGAAUCUCUCCUCAGUGAUCAGCUCACACCCUACUCAAACACCAGGUCAAGUAUGCCAUUAUCUAAUCAUACAUCCCCAUUCAGAUGAUUUCCGUUUACAAGGACCAAUGUAAGGGACAAUGGGGUCAAUAAAAGGCUGCUCAUAU